rnacentral:rRNA from 1 species
CCCAGUUCGGAUCGGAGCCUGCAACCCGGCUCCGUGAAGCUGGAUUCGCUAGUAAUCGCGCAUCAGCCAUGGCGCGGUGAAUACGUUCCCGGGCCUUGUACACACCGCCCGUCAAGCCAUGGGAGCCGGGGGCGCCUGAAGUGCGGUACCGCGAGGGCCGCCCAAGGGCGAGACCGGUGACUGGGGCUAAGUCGUAACAAGGUAAC